AGGAAUAGAUGGUCAUAAUGAAUUACAACCCACUCGUUCUAUAGAGUUUUCCAGGAAUAAGCCAGAUUGCAGGACCUGAAUUGUUGGGUGGAGAGAAGGUGUAGAUUUGUAGAAAGGGGAUCUGGGUUAAGAUGUUUAUUUACUCGGGCAAAAUCUCUGCACACUUUCCUGGGCCAGCUCAACUUCCUAUUCCCUAAUCUGACAAGAAAACCAUCAUGGUUAAAUCGUUAUUCCUAUGGUUUUCAGCCCCCAUCGGACACAAGGUUAGAGACUUUAAUUAAUAAAUCUCUUCUCCCAUGUCUUUGCCUUUCAUAGUCUCCCUUUCUCCAAAGAGUGAUUCAAAGGGCAAGAGAUCCUCUGGAAAGCACAAAUCGCUUUUACUUCCCCUCGAAGGUUAUUUGCCAGAAAGAAAAAUAGUUUUCUCAGUGGUAUAACCUAUUCCUUUCUUCCCAAGAGAGUAAACCUCUGUUGUCUUCAGAAAGGGUGUGUCUAUCUAAGACUAUUGUCUUGUUACAUCAUAACUUCUGCAUGUUGCUUAACUGGCUUACCCAUAACCAGUGAGCUCAGUGGAACAUAUAAGCAAUUCCCGGACUGUGCGCCAUCAUUUGAUUACUUUCCUUCAGUCCUUUAUUUAGUUUGUGUUAAUUUGGACCAUUGCCUGGCUCUUCCCGUUCGUCCUGUUAACUUUCAUCCAUGCAAUUGCCCAGUGUGCAUCGUGAGAAACCGUUUUUUUUUUUAAUGACACCUUGUGACCUAAAGGUUGUUUGGGACCCAAAUGAUUUUGGUCAUUCCCUAUUUUGCAGUCAAGGUGGAUGGGUAUUUUGUGGAAAUGUCUGUGUUCCUUUUUUCGGAUUUCAAUCACAAAAACAAGAUUUACAGAUACCUUAAAAGUCACAUGUUGACCUCUGACAGUGGUCACUUUUUGUAAAAGCUCACCUCAAGCGGUUUUUCUGUUUACUGAAAAGAGGAAGUAAGGGAACAAAGUGACCACAAACAAAAGUACAGAAUUCAAAUCUACCCAGUAUGAGUCCUAUGCCGAAGGCAUUUUAAACUCCAUUUUUAUUAGUUGUUUUUGUUUAUUUUAUUUAUGCAUUUCAAUGGUGAUUUUUGGGAAAUGGGACAAAGUAUGAUCAUAAAAGCCAACAGAUCUGUAUUAUUGGGUCUACAUUGGGUGGUAAAGGUGGGCCUCCCUCUGGGCGCCAGGCGGCUGGGGAAUAUCUGAUAUGAGUAGGGAGGGGUUACAGAGAUCAGAUUGGAGGGGAAAAAAGAGUCUCCAGUGUCCCCUCCAACUUUGAUUUAACCGAAAAAAGCACAGUAUAAAAACAGAGGAAGGCUGUCUUGAAAUGCACACCUUGGUGAAAGCUGCUUGUGUAUAAUGUAUCGAAGGUGGGCCCCUUUUUUGAAAUGCUGCCAAGCCUGUGGCCACUAUUGGCAGUCGCAUUAAAUUCAGAACAGGAAUAAUGGCAGUAGAGGAGGAGCCAGAGCCGAAACAUUACCUGGCAAUUACAGGGGCAAAAGGGAUUGGGGGUUGGGUGGAUAGCGCAAGAAAAUGCAGAACAUAUGGGAGGCAACACAAGGGCGGACACCUGACCUAGAGCGGGUCAAAAAUACAAUUCACUCCCAGCAACCCCAACAGAGUACAGGGAGCAUGUGUUGCCUUCUUGGGUCAUGUAAUGAUUAUGUGUAAAGCAGCUCUAGCCCAGCAACAUGCAACCCCAUGGAAUCAUCCGAGUCCAACGGCCAAGAACCACAGCCAACCGUAUGAGCAGCCAACACACACCGCAAAUGCUUCAAUCAAUUUGGAAAGCUAUGAGGCGACAAUUAUCGGUUAACACACUGCUGAAAGGUCAUGUGAUGGAAUUUGUACGUGGACGUUUAAGACGAAGACGGACACGAGUCCCCUCUACCCACCUGCGAUGUAUCAGAUUUUGUACAAGGAGUGGCACCAUCUUCUGGUCUCUGUGGAAAUUUUGAGUCAUGAUGGAGGGGUCUCUCUCCGGUCUCUUGUUUUAUUUUUACGUGCCAGUGACGCAAAGGCCUCGCAGCUGACUGCGAGUUUUUAUUGUAAACACAGCUACCGCCACUGGGCCAGCUGUUAAGCUUCUUAUUGCUCUCGUCAUUGAAGCAGAGCUCUAGUCUUUUAAAGAUCCAGUUAUUGGCUGGGUUUUUCCACUGGGCUACUGGAUGUUCCACUAACUAAAAUGCAUACAGGAAGCGAAGAUGGCUGGUUGGCGGACAGUUGGAUGGAGGCCUGAGAUUCCUGUACUAAAGCAAAAGAUAUUGAGGUCAACGCUUUGGCUCUCUUUGAUUGGCACAGUUUGUUUGUGCAGUUGUAGUGUUACACAAGAGUGCGUUGCUCAUGCCCUGACCCCUUCAUUUCAAAUGGAGGAAGGAAAAACAGCCACUGAAUGGGAAAGACAGAGACAGAGAGAAAGAGAGAUGCUGAUGAAAGCAGAACAGAGGGAAUAUAAACUGUCCCAGCAGCUGUGUCGAGGGCUACGGGGACGACUCUCCCGGCCAAGUUCCAUGUCCGCUCUGAUUAUGAGCUUAGAACAAUGCGGCCCAUUGUGGACUGGCUACUUCGCCAUUUUCUCAUCAUGUCCCACAACCCCCCCAUGUCUCUCGGUGAGGCGGCUCUGAAUUGGAAACGUCGAAACCAAAUGGAAAUACAUCUAGGCUGUAGCUGCUUCAGUUUCAAGGUUCUGUGAUCUGAUUGGACGCAGCUGCAGGAGAGCACCAUGGGAAUGCAACAGCAGCUGGAUUCAGCACACAGCCUUAGAACCUAGAAAAACAAACUCUGUGUGUGUGUGUGUGUGUGUGUGUGUGUGUGGGUGUGUGUGUGUGGGUGUGUGCGCGCCAUUAACUUUUCAAGUGUCCCAGGCUUUUCACAAAGGGAUGUGCUGCAGUAUUUGUGCACACAUUACAAACAGAAAUUUCAGUCCACAAUACUUCAAUGAUUAAAACAAUAUCCUUACACUUUAUGGACAUGUCAUUACAUGAGACAUGUCCGUGUAAAUUUCCAAUCCCUUUACGAUCACUCCUUGUACAAAAUCUGAUGCAUCUGUUUUUAGCAAUCCAACUGAACAAAAUUAAACAGUUUAUAAUGCAUAAUAUAAAAAAAAUGCAUUUCCCUAAUGUGGCCUCACUUAAACUGUGAUGUUUAACUGUCUGUUAUGUUCCCAAAAUCAGAAAGUCUUAGUCUAUAACUAGCAACAAGUCUCUGCACGUCUCUGGUUGUGUGACAGUAGAGUGUGGUGAAAUCUAGGCGUGAAAUAAUCAUUUCACAGCAGGGGCAUGUGCAGGUAUGCCUGCAGCCAGCAGGCUUAUGGAGUCCCGCAUCUAUGUCAGCAAGCGGUUGUGCAAGGUCUGGCUGCGUCACUAGGUGAUGAUGAACAUAAUUUCAUGCCUCGGGCCUUCCAAUGCCAUUCACUUUACGAUCCGCAGGACAAAGCUUGUAGGAGGUUGCCGGAGCAACAAGUUUUCACAUGAAGUGAUUAUUGUUGGAGGAACAAAAGAUAUGACUGCUUGACCUGAAUAUAGCUACUGAAUAAACAUGUCCUCAUCAAACAAAGUACUUAACUACUGAUCUAAUGAGACAUUAUAAUGAAUGCUGGGAA